AGAGUCACGGUUCUAAAGGAUCCCCUCAAAGCAAAGUUUAUCCAAGCUGUGAGGAAGGCGACCUGAAGUCUGGUGGUGAAGGCUCCGUGUGUAACCCACACACCUCCUGGGUGUGGUGUCCUGUCCUGUCAAGUGGCACCAAGCCCACUUAAUGAGAGGGAGAUAAAAUGAGCCUGUGCUGCAGCCUUUUAGCUCAUGCGGUAGAGAUUCAUGCGGUGGGCAUUCCACUGAGAGAACAGACUGAACCUGCUCACUGUCCCUGCAAUACAAUGGAAUUAUUACAGGCUUCUCCGAGGAAGAGGAGGCC